rnacentral:lncRNA from 1 species
GUAUGGUCAGGCGCACAAGUUCUUGGUGGCCUCAAUUCACGGUCUCUUCCUGUUGAUCAGCAGUGGGCAGAGACCACCUCCCUCAUUGCCGCUUUGGGUUUGGACCGCUUUAAACAGUAAAGUGACUGUCGACGGCUCAGUCUACAGGGAGGAGAACAAAAGACAGGGUCAGGGCUGGGCAGACUGGACAGGGUAAGAUUCUGGCUCCCCUCACUUGCUAGUUGGAGGAGUGGGGAGGCGAGUUAUUAGUGCCUUUGGGCCCUGACCUUAUAGCCCUUCGUAGGGUGGUGUGCGAAUGUCCAGUGUCCAGUGCUGAAUGCUGAGGGACCCAGUAAGAGGAGGUGGCUAGAACUGGAGGGACAGUUUCCCAGAAGCCUGGGCUUUGGGAUAGCAGCUGGGGAGAGCAGAGUCACGCUAGGCUCUUGUCUAGUGACUGGAGCUGUCUGGGUCUCAGGUCUAAGGUCUUAUAGGGCAUCUGGUUGGUAUUAGUGCUACAUUCUGCUGAGGCUAUCGCCCACAUUGCCUGCAGCUGACCAUGUUCCUUCCCUCUCUCCCUUUUCUCCAGAGCAGCAUAAGCCAGGCUCUAUGGAAUGUUGGGUGAGCUGCUUGAGGAACUCCAAGGCCUGUCCCACAGUCUUCCAGCCUCCGACUCUCCGGCCCUCAGCGAGGUCAGCAGUGAGCUACUUUUGGAUCUGUUGGGAUCCCUGAGCCCGUGGUCCAGGGAGACUCUGAACAGGGAGAUCUUUUGUCAUGACAUGGUUGUCUCUUGUUGUGCAAGCAAGAGUCAGGGGACAAAUGACAUUGGCUUUAGCCCCCUGCCAGCAGUACCAGGGCCUCCAGGACGGGAGGGAAGGACCAGGCUGAGGCUGGCAUAUGGGAGAGAGCGUGUGUGCGCUGGCGUUUCACCUGCUAGGGCUGCCUUCUGCUGGGCUGUCCAUCUGGCACCAGCUGGCAUACCAGCUCCGCCCCCACAGCCAACCAGACUCCUUCGGCUGUUGCUAUGACAAUUGGCUGCCAUCUUGGUACUCAGGGCACUACCGUCUCUCUGACUUUUCCUGUGGGGCUCCUGAGGGACAGAAAACAGAUCCUCAAUUUUUCAUAUCAGAGCCAGGCAGUAGUGGCACACACCUUUAAACCCAACACUCAGGAAGCAGAGGCAGGUGGGUCUCUGUGAGUUUGAGGCGAGCCUGAUCUAUAGAGCAAGUUCUGGGACAGCCAGGACUAUUUAAAAAAAAAAAGUCUCAAAAAAAAUUCAUCUCAGUAUCCAGUUUUGGAACAAGGCCAGGCAAACCAAGCAGGAGGGCUGACACUGGAGUCCCAGCACAUGGACGUCUGGCCAGAAGGGCGGUGACUUUGGAAGUCCCACUGGUUUUUUUGGUUGGUUUUUGCUUCCCUCCCUCCCAGUGCUGAUUUCCUGUGGACCAGAUUCCAGCACAGUGGAGGGCCAGAGCUCAGGGAACAGACCCAGCAGCACAGCAAGUCUCCAAGGAAAGCUCUAGCAGUCUCCAGGGGCUGAAGGCAGGACUGGGGAAGCGGCUAGCCAGGCUGCAGAAGGCAAAUGCUCCCAGACGGCUGUCCAGCACGCAUCCGCCUUCCUAGCCAAGUUUCCUGGGCUCCUGCCACAGAUCUAAGCCUCAUCCUGACAUCCUGCCCUCUGUGCUCUGGGAUGGCCCAGGGGAGAUGCUUAGCCUUGGCUCCUUGUCUGCUGGUGGAGGGACCAAAAAGAAGACCUGACGUCAUCCUGAGCACCCCCGCCAUGCAGAGUGUGUUCGCAGACUGCCAACGGGCUGGCUCCGGCCAGCAGAAGUGAACAGAGGUGGAGGUUCAGCCUGACAGCUUCUCCCCAAAGCCAUGGAGAGAAAACCUUACCACCCCCACCGCCCAGCUACUUCCAGCAAGUUGUCCAGCCUGACCCCUCUAUUUCCCCUGUUGUCUCUUAUCUGGGUCCCUGAGACCCACCCCAUCUCCAAUAAAGAACAUUGCAUACUGUGCAUCAGUGUUGCCUUGGGUGUGCCAAC